GAUGGUUUAAACUCGAUUUAAAUCGCGGGAUUUCACAACCAGCGAUGUGCUUGAUGAUUGGUGGACAAUCCAACCGCUUAAUGUGGGAUUUCGGGAAUCUUUUUUUCAAAAACACAACUUCCAUGUUCACACCUUGGUUACUUAUUGUUUGAAAAGAAGGAAGGUGUAUGUCACCUUAUGCUGAAUAUGGAACUUUGAACUUAGCUCAUAUCAAAACUAAAAUUCAGUGAAACCAGAUCUAGCAACUUAUUAAUACAAAAAGCUUUAAUUGAAAAUUCGCACAUUUUAUGAUUUGGAUUAAAACAUAAGUUCGAUAGUGUUAGAAAAAUAGAUUACAAAGCGUUUUAGAUGGAGCAGUUUUUAGCACAAAUAAUAGGAGUUCUCCUAACUAUCGUGUUUUGUUAUGCCUUGUGGUCGGUAAUUUACAAUUUAGGGACAGGUACACUUGUCAAUUACCCUAGGCGUUCAGUGGGGAGACAGGAUAGAUAUUUAUCAUCCAAGAUACAAAACAAAGUGCCAACAUGUAUUGCCAAUGAAAGAAAAGCCACAACGAAUAGUGACAAUAAAUCCAGUCUAAAACACUCAAAGGCUGAUGUAAUAGUAUCACCAAAUUUUCCUUCUAAAAACGAAGUAAGAUGUAAAAUAAAUCGGAAGCCGAAAAGCAAGCCUGUAGUCUUUGAUCCAAAUGAUCUGGAGCAGUUAAACAGUCAAGGUGAAGAACACAACUCUCAUACGCAAGUUCAUGACAUUAAGAGAAACUUAUUCGCUAAAAAAGAACAGGUGCUUGAUGAUGAUGCACAUACUGGUGAUGGUCCGAAUGUCUCUGCCGAUCGUUUAGCCGAUUAUAUAUCCACGUAUAUCUGCUCGGACCGCGCUAGUGAUAAUGAAACCAGACCGUCAGAGGACAGGAUGGGAAAUAUUGGUUCUUUCCUAGCGAGAGGAGAUGGUGACGAACUAGGCCCAGAUUUAAUACCGUUUAGUGUUCCGGAAAACAGCGUGAGACGUUCAGACGUGAAUGAUAAUGAGAACAAUUCUGUUAGUCAAGUGGCUGGAAGUACGGAUGACUAUUUUCCUGACGAAACUAAGACCGUACAGAACUCGUGUAGAAGGAGAUGGUUUGUCGUUACCGAACAACAAAACGUGAACAAAAACGGUCAUAUUGCUGACGAUGGGGAUACAACAGGAAGUUUUGAAGUCGACAGUUCUAAUGUGAAUCAAUAUGCACGUUCAGAUCGACGGCAAAUAAACACAGAUAGACGUGUUGCCGACAGUUGUGCGAGUGACAGUAUUGCUACAAGCGAGGGUGACUGAUGGAAAUGCAUGCAUGAUUCCUUACAAAGAGCCAACAGUGACCGACGGUGGUGUUCCUUAUAAUGGUGCUCGCCCCAAAACUUCCGAAAAUGACGCUCCCAGAAGAACCAGAACACCAAUAUCAAAUCAACUGCCUGUCGCAACCGUCAAAAAUGGUGAAAUAUCUGACCGAAGUGCUAACGUAGAUGUUUAUUACCACCGCGCACCAAAGCAGGACAAUUGCUCUUCGGCAAAGUCAACUCAAAGUGACCACCGGAGUUCCCGGACGAGUAGUGGUUUUCCCGACAUGAUGUCCGGUCAGACAAGUGCGGGUGUACGUACACAUGCAUUAGGAACAGUGUUAAUGCCGGCUGUAGUUGAACCUUCAAUUGUUAGAGAGAUGGCGGGGGAGAAUAUCUCGCAGCUCAUAGAUCACAGCAUCAUUGCUGCCGACCUUGGCGACACCAACCGAGCUCGGAUUCUCGCCCUACAGGCGAUAGCUGGCGCCUGCAAGGAAAGGGACGACUAUCUCAAUGGGCUGAACCCGGUGAUGCAGGAGCAGCAGCUUGCGGACUGGUUUGGCGGAUGUUCCUUCGUAUUCAACAAGAUUGGCGAUUAUAUCCAGUCGGCCAGGUACUUCUACACAGCAACACUGUUCGACAACAUGUGGAAGGAAAACGAACAUUGUGAAGUUUCCGGCGUCUUGUGGGAAAAUAUAUUACACGACGUACCAGGAAAUCA